GAAAUGUUGUUUCUUAGGAAUCUCAUCUAUGAGCAUGCUGGCGUGUGCUAUUUAGGGAAAGAAUGUAUCUUAUUGAAAUCUUUUUCAUGAGGCAAAUAUGUGAAGCUACUUGUUACAUAAUUAGUCUAAAAUGCAUUUAAAAAAAGUAAUGCUAUUUAUGAGUAAAUAAGCAAAAAUGACAGGUUUAUAUCUUUUUGAUACUUCUCCGUUGUGAAUUUCCUAUAGAAGGCUAGCUUUUUAUCCCUCUGCGAGCGUUUACAAAACGAAUGGGAGAUCCACUUGAAGCAUUUCCUUCUCCCCUUAGGUUCCAGCGACUGGAUUUGUUACGGUUAAUAUAAGGCAAGUUUUCAUUAUAUUUUUCCCCUCCCAUAAAAAUUGUUUAAAUCUUAUUAUUUUAGAUUUCAUUCCUUAGAGCUGUUGAACUUUAGAAAUUAAAUCACCAAAUGCAUGCAAAUCUUUUUCCAACUUCCUUUCCAUCUUAAAGUAACUCUGGCCAGAACACUGUUCUUGCUUGGUGUUCUCUGGGUCUGUAUCUUUUGUUAUUUGUUGCAGCUAUUAUACCGUAUCCCUUUGUUGUGAGUUUUUCCGGGUGAGCUUGAAUCAAACAAGCGGCGUUUUAUUCUACACUGUCUUUGCAUCCUCCUCUUCUUGAUUCAUGGAAACCAUUUGCCUCCAUCUCAACCAAACUCAAUUUUCCCGAUAAAUUCUGGUUUCUGGAAUUCUAUGUUAAUUGGUUGAAAAAUCGACCGUACAAGUGAUGUGAAGCGGAAUUAAUUAUACUGCUUUAUGGUAAGUUAUAUUUUAUGAGUUUCUUGAAUGUGAGAAUUAUGUUAG